rnacentral:rRNA from 1 species
CCUACGGGUGGCUGCAGUGGGGAAUAUUGCACAAUGGGCGAAAGCCUGAUGCAGCAACGCCGCGUGAAGGACGAAGGGUUUCAGCUCGUAAACUUCUAUCAACAGGGACGAAAGAACUGACGGUACCUGAAUAAGAAGCCCCGGCUACCUACGUGCCAGCAGCCGCGGUAAUCCGUAGGAGGCAAGCGUUAUACGGAAUUACUGGGUGUAAAGGGUGAGUAGGCGGCAUGGUAAGCCCGAUGUGAAAGCCUUGGGCUUAACCCGAGGAUUGCAUUUGAAACUAUCAAGCUAGAGUACAGGAGAGGAAUGCGGAAUUCCUAGUGUAGCGGUGAAAUGCGUAGAUAUUAGGAAGAACACCAGUGGCGAAGGCGGCUUUCUGGCCUGAAACUGACGCUGAGGUACGAAAGCGUGGGGAGCGAACAGGAUUAGAUACCCCUGUAGUC